AUAUGUUUAAAAAAAUUAAAAGUGGCUCAAUACAUUAACUUUUUUGACAUAUAAUAUUGCAUACAGGGCCUAAAAUAAUUUCGUUAUUUAUAGGAUACGUCAUCAACUCUCAUCGUUCUCUUUAUUUGGAUUGAGGAAAUAAUAUAAAAAUCCAAUGGAACCUGUACCAACUCAUGGAAUGCAGGGCAAUAAAAAGGUAUAAAUUUUAAGGGGCUAAAACACUUAAGUUGUUGAUAGGAGCAAUUUCUCUUUAAAACUAUAAUUGACAUUAAAUAAUAACAACAUGAGUACAAUUAGAAAUAUUAGAAAUAUUGAAUCCAGGAAUCCUCAAUUUCGUUCAGGAAAUGCGAAAGAAUUUUUUUUGAUAAUUCUGAUAAAGUUUUACAUAUACCUACAUUUUAAAAACUCAACUUAAACUUAACAAAAACUCAAAAGAUACUGCUUCAAAUUUGGCCGCAAACUUGAAUUAAGAUAUUACCUAGGGCUCAAACUCAUAUUCGUAACUAAAUUAGAAGUACUUAAGGAAAAAAACAAUAUUAAUAAUUGACGCUUUCAAAGUACCAAAACUACGCUACCGACUUUGAAUUUCUGUUGUCACAGUCUUCAAUAGGAACCGUUUAAGUGUUGAAGGUCUUAUACAUAAUCCAUAAUUAUGUGUGUAUGCGUUCUCGUAAAAUGUAAAACUGGAUGUGAAGAGUGAAGUAAGUCUUUACCGCGUCAAAAGAAAGAAAUGAAUGGUCAUCAGUUUGAAUCACUCUGGAAGUGAUGAAUUUCGAAAAAUGAAUAGAAUGAAAUUGGUCAAUCUCAAAUAAAAUUUUCAAUCGAACUCGAUGACAAACUUAAAUCUAGACAUAACUAGGAUACAUCACAUUCGUAGCCAAACUUUAAAGAGAAGAAAACUUAGAACAUGAUAUCCAGGAUAUUAGUUGACGCUUUUAAAGUAUUUUGUACUGACUUCCGAUUUACUUUAUAUUCAUUACGUCAAAGUCUUAACCGGGAACCGUUUAACACAUAAAUUGAAUAUUGGAAGUCCUGUACACUAUGUGUGAGUAAAUAUGAUCUUAUAAAAUGUAAAAUGGACUGUGAGUAUUGGAUUUAGUCUGAGGAGUACCAUAUUAUCCGAAGAAAGGAUCAAUUUUAAACUUAUCACUUACAACAUUUAAAUACAGAAAUAAUGGUUAACAAAAAGUCUUCUCAUUAGAAGACUAGAAAUUUGGAAACUGAACAAAAUCUUAGAUGACAUCUUCAUUCGAACUCGAUGACAAACUUGAAUCUAAAUAUUACCAGAAUGCAUCACAUUCGUAGCCAAACUUUAAAGAGAAGAAAACUAAGAACAUGAUAUCCAGGAUAUUAGUUGACGCUUUUAAAGUAUUUUGUACUGACUUCCGAUUUACUUUAUAUUCAUUACGUCAAAGUCUUAAUCGGGAACCGUUUAACACAUAAAUUGAAUAUUGGAAGUCCUGUACACUAUGUGUGAGUAAAUAUGAUCUUAUAAAAUGUAAAAUGGACUGUGAGUAUUGGAUUUAGUCUGAGGAGUGCCAUAUUAUCCGAAGAAAGGAUCAAUUUUAAACUUAUCACUUACAACAUUUAAAUACAGAAAUAAUGGUUAACAAAAAGUCUUCUCAUUAGAAGACCAGAAAUUUGGAAACUUAACAAAAUAUUAGAUGACAUCUUCAUUCGAACUCGAUGACAAACUUGAAUCUAAAUAUUACCAGAAUGCAUCACAUUCGUAGCCAAACUUUAAAGAGAAGAAAACUAAGAACAUGAUAUCCAGGAUAUUAGUUGACGCUUUUAAAGUAUUUUGUACUGACUUCCGAUUUACUUUAUAUUCAUUACGUCAAAGUCUUAAUCGGGAACCGUUUAACACAUAAAUUGAAUAUUGGAAGUCCUGUACACUAUGUGUGAGUAAAUAUGAUCUUAUAAAAUGUAAAAUGGACUGUGAGUAGUGGAUUUAGUCUGGGAGUGCCAUAUUAUCCGAAGAAAGGAUCAAUUUUAAACCUAUCACUUACAACAUUUAAAUACAGAAAUAAUGGUUAACAAAAAGUCUUCUCAUUAGAAGACCAGAAAUUUGGAAACUUAACAAAAUAUUAGAUGACAUCUUCAUUCGAACUCGAUGACAAACUUGAAUCUAAAUAUUACCAGAAUGCAUCACAUUCGUAGCCAAACUUUAAAGAGAAGAAAACUAAGAACAUGAUAUCCAGGAUAUUAGUUGACGCUUUUAAAGUAUUUUGUACUGACUUCCGAUUUACUUUAUAUUCAUUACGUCAAAGUCUUAAUCGGGAACCGUUUAACACAUAAAUUGAAUAUUGGAAGUCCUGUACACUAUGUGUGAGUAAAUAUGAUCUUAUAAAAUGUAAAAUGGACUGUGAGUAUUGGAUUUAGUCUGGGGAGUGCUUUAUUGUCCGAAGAAAGGAUCAAUUUUAAACCUAUCACUUACAACAUUUAAAUACAGAAAUAAUGGUUAUCAAAAAGUCUUCUCAUUAGAAGACCAGAAAUUUGGAAACUUAACAAAAUAUUAGAUGACAUCUUCAUUCGAACUCGAUGACAAACUUGAAUCUAAAUAUUACCAGAAUGCAUCACAUUCGUAGCCAAACUUUAAAGAGAAGAAAACUAAGAACAUGAUAUCCAGGAUAUUAGUUGACGCUUUUAAAGUAUUUUGUACUGACUUCCGAUUUACUUUAUAUUCAUUACGUCAAAGCCUUAACCGGAAACCGUUUAACACAUAAAUUGAAUAUUGAAAGUCCUGUACAUUAUGUGUGAGUAAAUAUGAUCUUAUAAAAUGUAAAAUGGACUGUGAGUAUUGGAUUUAGUCUGAGGAGUACCAUAUUAUCCGAAGAAAGGAUCAAUUUUAAACUUAUCACUUACAACAUUUAAAUACAGAAAUAAUGGUUAACAAAAAGUCUUCUCAUUAGAAGACCAGAAAUUUGGAAACUUAACAAAAUCUUAGAUGACAUCUUCAUUCGAACUCGAUGACAAACUUGAAUCUAAAUAUUACCAGAAUGCAUCACAUUCGUAGCCAAACUUUAAAGAGAAGAAAACUAAGAACAUGAUAUCCAGGAUAUUAGUUGACGCUUUUAAAGUAUUUUGUACUGACUUCCGAUUUACUUUAUAUUCAUUACGUCAAAGUCUUAAUCGGGAACCGUUUAACACAUAAAUUGAAUAUUGGAAGUCCUGUACACUAUGUGUGAGUAAAUAUGAUCUUAUAAAAUGUAAAAUAGACUGUGAGUAGUGGAUUUAGUCUGGGAGUGCCAUAUUAUCCGAAGAAAGGAUCAAUUUUAAACUUAUCACUUACAACAUUUAAAUACAGAAGUAAUGGUUAACAAAAAUUCUUCUCAUUAGAAGACUAGAAAUUUGGAAACUUAACAAAAUCUUAGAUGACAUCUUCAUUCGAACUCGAUGACAAACUUGAAUCUAAAUAUUACCAGAAUGCAUCACAUUCGUAGCCAAACUUUAAAGAGAAGAAAACUUAAAACAUGAUAUCCAGGAUAUUAGUUGACGCUUUUAAAGUAUUUUGUACUGACUUCCGAUUUACUUUAUAUUCAUUACGUCAAAGCCUUAACCGGAAACCGUUUAACACAUAAAUUGAAUAUUGAAAGUCCUGUACAUUAUGUGUGAGUAAAUAUGAUCUUAUAAAAUGUAAAAUGGACUGUGAGUAUUGGAUUUAGUCUGAGGAGUGCCAUAUUAUCCGAAGAAAGGAUCAAUU